rnacentral:rRNA from 1 species
GACGAACGCUGGCGGCGUGCCUAAUACAUGCAAGUAGAACGCUGAAGAGAGGAGCUUGCUCUUCUUGGAUGAGUUGCGAACGGGUGAGUAACGCGUAGGUAACCUGCCUGGUAGCGGGGGAUAACUAUUGGAAACGAUAGCUAAUACCGCAUAAAAUGGAUUAUCGCAUGAUAAUCCAUUGAAAGGUGCAAAUGCAUCACUACCAGAUGGACCUGCGUUGUAUUAGCUAGUUGGUGGGGUAACGGCUCACCAAGGCGACGAUACAUAGCCGACCUGAGAGGGUGAUCGGCCACACUGGGACUGAGACACGGCCCAGACUCCUACGGGAGGCAGCAGUAGGGAAUCUUCGGCAAUGGACGGAAGUCUGACCGAGCAACGCCGCGUGAGUGAAGAAGGUUUUCGGAUCGUAAAGCUCUGUUGUAAGAGAAGAACGAGUGUGAGAGUGGAAAGUUCACACUGUGACGGUAUCUUACCAGAAAGGGACGGCUAACUACGUGCCAGCAGCCGCGGUAAUACGUAGGUCCCGAGCGUUGUCCGGAUUUAUUGGGCGUAAAGCGAGCUCAGGCGGUUAGAUAAAUCUGAAGUCAAAGGUUGUGGCUUUCCCACAAUACGCUUUGAAGACUGCUAACCUCGACUCCCAC